rnacentral:rRNA from 1 species
GACGAACGCUGGCGGCGUGCUUAACACAUGCAAGUCGAACGGAAAGGCCCUGCUUUUGUGGGGUGCUCGAGUGGCGAACGGGUGAGUAACACGUGAGUAACCUGCCCUUGACUUUGGGAUAACUUCAGGAAACUGGGGCUAAUACCGGAUAGGAGCUCCUGCUGCAUGGUGGGGGUUGGAAAGUUUCGGCGGUUGGGGAUGGACUCGCGGCUAUCAGCUUGUUGGUGGGGUAGUGGCUUACCAAGGCUUUGACGGGUAGCCGGCCUGAGAGGGUGACCGGCCACAUUGGGACUGAGAUACGGCCCAGACUCCUACGGGAGGCAGCAGUGGGGAAUAUUGCACAAUGGGCGGAAGCCUGAUGCAGCAACGCCGCGUGCGGGAUGACGGCCUUCGGGUUGUAAACCGCUUUCGCCUGCGACGAAGCGUGAGUGACGGUAAUGGGUAAAGAAGCACCGGCUAACUACGUG